GGGUUGCUUUCAGACAGCUGGCUUACCCCCACAAUCCAGGCAAAUGGACAGGUUGUCAAGCGUUCUGACAGCCUUUGGAUUCUGCAGUGGCAGACAAAUGAACCCAAAGCAGUUGGCUUGGAUAUUUGGCAUGCAGUGUUCCAGCAACUGUACCCUCCCCUGCAAGCCACUUUGUUGUUCACAUAAUUGUGCAGUAAGGAUUUGUAGGGAAAAAAAAUAAAGCUGGAAUUUGUUUACAGCCAGUGCAAUCCUGGUGAGCUCCUGUGGGAAACAGAAGAAAUGGCUGAGAGUUGUUUUCAGAGGAGAAGACAGCCUUUGGUUUAUGAGAAUCAGGACUCUGGACCUACAAAUAUCUGUCUUUUCCAGCCUCCAACCUGUUUCACAAGGAGCAGAUGCUAAGAGGCAGGACGUGGGACCUACAAAUAUCUGUCUUGAAUCCUGGUCUUGCAAACUUUAAGCCUGCAGCUUAUGUGAAGUUGUCACGUACAAAAAAACAGGUUGGUGGUUGUGAAUGGAGCAUGGGAAAGGGGUGUUUUUUGGUGGGCUACUGUGCCAAUCUCUGCUUUUUCUCUCAGAGCUAUUACCAAAACUCCUUCUUGCCUAUCCAUCUGAGCCUCUCUUUCCUGUCUCUGGCCCCCAUUUCAGGGAGCAGACCUGAAGGCAUUUCUCAUGAACUGAGGCAGGGUGAUUGAUUUAAAGAAUGCACCCAAGACCCAGUGGGUGGGGAGUCAGAGGGUUUUACUGUAUCGGGCUGGGCUACAUUGGUGUGAGCAGUCUGGGAGACUUUGAGAGGGAAAGAGUCCCCUCUGCAGGGCUCUGUGUUGGGCUUAGAGAGGGAGGAGGAACAGCAUCAAGCGGGCAGGGGUCUAAGGCCAGUACAACCCCAGAGGCUGUUGAGGGAAACAGGAGCAAGGGCUGAGAGUUCCUGUUGUUGGAAAUUACAAUAACUUUGGCUCGGGUCAUCAGUGUCAGAAAAUGAGACACGUGGACAAGGAGAAAUCUUGACAAGACUCUUUCCUCCUGCAGAAGGGCACGGGAGCUCCAAAAAGUGCAUGUGCUGAACAAACGACCCUCCCCUAUUUACCCCUAAGGCAGGUGAUACACCUGUCCCCUUCCCAUGGGUCAAGUCAGGGUGCACAUUCUUCCCGGUUGGCUAAUUUGAAACAAAUUGUUCCUGGGAGAAGAGGGAAAGGAGAGGGGUUGGGGUCGGGG
rnacentral:lncRNA from 1 species